rnacentral:rRNA from 1 species
AUGCCUUACACAUGCAAGUACGAACGGCAGGCACGGGGCGAACCUGGUGGCGAGUGGCGAACGGGUGAGUAAUGCAUCGGAACGUGCCAUUGAGUGGGGGGUAACGUAGCGAAAGUUACGCUAAUACCGCAUAUUCUGUGAGCAGGAAAGCAGGGGAUCGCAAGACCUUGCGCUCUUUGAGCGGCCGAUGUCAGAUUAGCUAGUUGGUGAGGUAACGGCUUACCAAGGCGACGAUCUGUAGCGGGUCUGAGAGGAUGAUCCGCCACACUGGAACUGAGACACGGUCCAGACUCCUACGGGAGGCAGCAGUGGGGAAUUUUUGGACAAUGGGGGCAACCCUGAUCCAGCCAUGCCGCGUGAGUGAAGAAGGCCUUCGGGUUGUAAAGCUCUUUCGGCCGGGAAGAAAUCGCAUGGGUUAAUACCCUGUGUGGAUGACGGUACCGGCAUAAGAAGCACCGGCUAACUACGUG